UUUUUUUUUUUUUUUUGUGGUAUGACAAAAAUUUCCAGGCUCAUCUGGUACAUUUUUUGCUGCAGCUUGAAAUCAGUCAUUUCUUCAAGGAGGACUUGUUCUUUUCAGUGGAAAAUUGUAUUCAAAGACCAUUGUUUGGAUACUAGGAGGCUCAUUAGUACUGAAUAGGUUGUUUUUUUGGUAGGAUUUUUAGUGGACAAAGCUAGAAAAAAUGUUUAAGAUAAAGUACAUCUUAAUUCAUACUGAUAUUUACAAUUCAAACUCAAGAUCAUAAAAUGUUUUAUUUAACCUAAUUGUAUGAUUAGAUUUCCUUUUUCUCACUGAAAAUUCUCAUUUUCAGUUGCAACAAUAUAAUCACUUAUUUGCUUUAUCCACACACAUAGGAGUCUUAAAACAGCUGUACCAGUACUGUAACAAAUAAUAUGCUUAGUGAAAAUGGUUUAAACUUUUUGAAGCUUCCCCCCGCCUGGGGAUAGUCUACUAAGGAAUGUACAAUAAUAUCACUAAGUUUUAAAGUGAAUUGGAAAUAAUCUCUCUGUGUGGUUAUUCCACUAAAGCAUACAGAUUUGGGUUUAUUUGCUUUAUUUCACUUUCAUUGGGGGAGGUGCUUUUGUUUUUAUUAACAGCUUAAUUGAGGUAUGCUUACGUAUUCUAAAUUCACCCAUUGUAACUGUGCUUGUGCAGUUAAUAAUUUUUAGUGCAUUUAUAGAAUUGUACAACUAUCACCAGAAUCCAAUGUUGAAUAUUUCUCUCACCUCCAAGAGAGUCUUUGUAUAGUUUGCAGUCAAUCCCCAGGCCCAGACAAACACUGUUUUGCUUUCUGGCUUGAUAGAUUUCUCUUACCUGGACAUGUCAUAGAAAUGGAAUUAUCAAUAGGUGAUUGUCUUUUGCCUCUGGUGACUUUCACCCAGCUUAAGGUUUUUGAAGUCUAUCCAUGUUGUAGCAUCUGUCAAUCAUUUGUCCCUUUUUAUUGCUGAACAGUAAUUCAUUGUAUGAUAGGACACAUUUUGUGUAUUUGUUUUCUGGCUAUUUGGAUUAUUUUCAGAUUUUGGCCAUUAUGAAUAAUGCUGCUAUGAAUAGUCGUAUCCAAAUCUUCAUGCAAACAUAUGUUUUAAUUUCUCCUAAGCAGAUAUCUAGGUGUGGAAUUGCUAGGUCAUUUGAUAAGUGUGUAUUUAACUUUUUAAGAAACCGUUUUACAAAACUCAAACUGUUUUCCAAAAUGGUUGUACCGUUUCACACUCCCACUAGCAAUGCAUGAGAGUUCCAGUUUCUCCACACCUUCGCCAACACUUGCUUUGCCCUGUUCCCAGCCCCUCUUUCUGAUUAUAACCAUUUUAGUGGGUGUAAAGUGCUUUCUCAUUUUGGCUUUAAUUUGCAUUUCUCUGAUGUUGAACAUCUUUCCAAGUUCUUAUUGGCCAUUUGCAUAUUUUCUUUGGUGAAAUGUCUAUUUAAAUCAUUUGCCUAAUUUUAGAAAUUGUGUUUUUGUCUUCUUAUUAUUGAGUUGCAUAAGUUCUUUAUAUAUUCUGGAUGCAAAUCCUUUGUCAGAUAUAUGAUUUGCAAAUAUUUUCUCCCAGACUGGGGCUUGUCUUUUCAUUUUCUUAAUGGUGUCUUUUGAUGUACGAAAGGUUUUAAUUUCAAUAAACUUAAAUUUGGU
rnacentral:lncRNA from 1 species